rnacentral:rRNA from 1 species
AGUGGAUGGGGAGCAACCUAUGUUGUGCGUGUGUAAAGGUAGUGCCAAGAAAAGCGAUGAUCAUGUUGAAAAUCAAUUCCCGGUACCCGAAACCGACACAGGUGGGCAAGUAGAGAAUACUAAGGGGCGCGAGGUAACUCUCUCCAAGGAACUCGGCAAAAUGACCCCGUAACUUAGGGAGAAGGGGUGCCACCGAGAGGUGGUCGCAGUGAAGAGGCCCAGGCGACUGUUUAGCAAAAACAUAGGUCUCUGCAAACUCGAAAGAGGAGGUAUAGGGGCUGACGCCUGCCCAGUGCCGGAAGGUUAAAGAAGUUGGUCAGUUUUAGGAUGAAGCUAGCGACUGAAGCCCCGGUGAACGGCGGCCGUAACUAUAACGGUCCUAAGGUAGCGAAAUUCCUUGUCGGGUAAGUUCCGACCCGCACGAAAGGCGUAACGAUCUGGGCGCUGUCUCGGAGAGAGGCUCGGCGAAAUAGGAUUGUCUGUGAAGAUACGGACUACCUGCAUUUGGACAGAAAGACCCUAUGAAGCUUUACUAUAGCUUGGAAUUGUGUUCGGGCUUCCUGUGCGCAGGAUAGGUGGGAGGCGUAGAAGGUAUUCUUGUGGGGAUACUGGAGCCAACGGUGAGAUACCACUCUCAGGAGGCUAGAAUUCUAACUUAAUUAAGGACAGUUUCAGGUGGGUAGUUUGACUGGGGCGGUCGCCUCCAAAAAGGUAACGGAGGCGUACAAAGGUUCCCUCAGACUGGUUGGAAAUCAGUCGAAGAGUGCAAAGGCAGAAGGGAGCUUGACUGCGAGAAGUACAGUUCGAGCAGGGUGGAAACACGGUCUUAGUGAUCCGACGGUGCUGUGUGGAAGGGCCGUCGCUCAACGGAUAAAAGUUACUCUAGGAUAACAGGCUGAUCUCCCCCAAGAGUUCACAUCGACGGGGAGGUUUGGCACCUCGAUGUCGGCUCAUCGCAACCUGGGGCGGAAGUACGUCCCAAGGGUUGGGCUGUUCGCCCAUUAAAGCGGUACGUGAGCUGGGUUCAGAACGUCGUGAGACAGUUCGGUCCAUAUCCGAUGUAGGCGUGAGAAUAUUGAGAGGAGCCUUCCUUAGUACGAGAGGACCGGGAAGGACGCACCGCUGGUGUACCUGUUAUGAUGCCAAUUGUAAACGCAGGGUAGCCAAGUGCGGAGAGGAUAACCGCUGAAAGCAUCUAAGUGGGAAGCCCACCUCAAGAUGAGUAUUCUGGUGUAAGGUCACGGGAAGACGACCCGUAAAUAGGCACGAGGUGGAAGUGCAGAGAUGUAUGAAGCCGAAGUGUACUAAUAGACCGUCGGCUUG